rnacentral:lncRNA from 1 species
GGUUAUUGAGAAAGUAUUGGAAGGCUGCUUUAAGCAUAUUCCUGUCUUUUUUCUUUCUAAUUUUAAAAGAAGAUUUUGUCAUGUUAUUUUCAACCAGAUAGUAAAAUUCACGAGGGUGAUGAAUGUUUUCUUUCUCCUUCAGUGAUCCCAGUUCUUCAUUGGAUUUCACCGAAGAUGGACAUAUGGUCUUGCAGCAAUCACCCCAUCAGUCUGAAAGAUGGUUGUAAGGAAUGAACUGGAUAAUCUCGAGACAAAAGUCUUCAAGCAAAGGCACUCGGGAGCUGCAGUUGACACCUCUUCCUCGCGUGUCUUCUGUAUACAGAAAUGGGCUCCAAAAUCACUGCUGCCAUGAAGUUAAAAGACGCUUACUCCUUGGAAGAAAAGUUAUG